GACGAACGCUGGCGGUGUGCUUAACACAUGCAAGUCGAACGGUAAGGCCCUUUCGGGGGUACACGAGUGGCGAACGGGUGAGUAACACGUGAGUAGCCUGCCCUCAUCUCUGGGAUAACAGUCGGAAACGGUUGCUAAUACUGGAUAUGAGCUUGCAAGGCAUCUUGUGGGUUGGAAAGAUUUUUUUGGUUGGGGAUGGACUCGCGGCCUAUCAGCUUGUUGGUGAGGUAGUGGCUCACCAAGGCUUCGACGGGUAGCCGGCCUGAGAGGGCGACCGGCCACAUUGGGACUGAGAUACGGCCCAAACUCCUACGGGAGGCAGCAGUGGGGAAUACUGCACAAUGGACGGAAGUCUGAUGCAGCAACGCCGCGGGCGGGAGGACGGCCUUCGGGUUGUAAACCGCUUUCAAUUGUGACGAAGCUUUUUGUGACGGUAGCAGUAGAAGAAGCACCGGCUAACUACGUG
rnacentral:rRNA from 1 species